rnacentral:rRNA from 1 species
GGGGCCCGCACAAGCGGCGGAGCAUGCGGAUUAAUUCGAUGCAACGCGAAGAACCUUACCAAGGCUUGACAUACACCGGUAACGCCCAGAGAUGGGUGCCCCUUUGUGGUCGGUGGACAGGUGGUGCAUGGUUGUCGUCAGCUCGUGUCGUGAGAUGUUGGGUUAAGUCCCGCAACGAGCGCAACCCUCGUCCUAUGUUGCCAGCGGGUCAUGCCGGGGACUCAUGGGAGACUGCCGGGGUCAACUCGGAGGAAGGUGGGGAUGACGUCAAAUCAUCAUGCCCCUUAUGUCUUGGGCUUCACGCAUGCUACAAUGGCCGGUACAAAGGGCUGCGAUACCGCGAGGUGGAGCGAAUCCCAGAAAGCCGGUCUCAGUUCGGAUUGGGGUCUGCAACUCGACCCCAUGAAGUCGGAGUCGCUAGUAAUCGCAGAUCAGCAACGCUGCGGUGAAUACGUUCCCGGGCCUU